AUGAAAGAGGUUGGCCGUGUGCUGAAACCUGGUGGUAUGGUGAUCCUUUCCACCAGCAAUCGAUGCUUU
rnacentral:ribozyme from 1 species